AUUGAACGCUGGCGGCAUGCUUUACACAUGCAAGUCGAACGGCAGCGCGGGCUUCGGCCUGGCGGCGAGUGGCGAACGGGUGAGUAAUACAUCGGAACGUGCCCAGUAGUGGGGGAUAGCUCGGCGAAAGCCGGAUUAAUACCGCAUACGACCUGAGGGUGAAAGCGGGGGAUCUUCGGACCUCGCGCUAUUGGAGCGGCCGAUGGCAGAUUAGCUAGUUGGUGGGGUAAAGGCCUACCAAGGCGACGAUCUGUAGCUGGUCUGAGAGGACGACCAGCCACACUGUGACUGAGACACGGCCCAGACUCCUACGGGAGGCAGCAGUGGGGAAUUUUGGACAAUGGGCGAAAGCCUGAUCCAGCAAUGCCGCGUGUGUGAUGAAGGCCUUCGGGUUGUAAAGCACUUUUGGCGGGAACGAAAAGGACUGUGCCAAUACCACGGUUCGAUGACGGUACUCGCAGAAUAAGCACCGGCUAACUACGUG
rnacentral:rRNA from 1 species